UACAGAGGUCUCAAGCGUUGUCCGGAAUUAUUGGGCGUAAAGAGCUCGUAGGCGGCUUGUCACGUCGGGUGUGAAAGCCCGGGGCUUAACCCCGGGUCUGCAUUCGAUACGGGCUAGCUAGAGUGUGGUAGGGGAGAUCGGAAUUCCUGGUGUAGCGGUGAAAUGCGCAGAUAUCAGGAGGAACACCGGUGGCGAAGGCGGAUCUCUGGGCCAUUACUGACGCUGAGGAGCGAAAGCGUGGGGAGCGAACAGG
rnacentral:rRNA from 1 species